ACAUCAGUACAGGUGGUGCAUGGCUGUCGUCAGCUCGUGUCGUGAGAUGUUGGGUUAAGUCCCGCAACGAGCGCAACCCUUAUUCUUAGUUGGUUUUCCCUUUUGGGGAUUACCCUCUAAGAAGACUGCCUCGGGAUAACGGGGAGGAAGGUGGGGAUGACGUCAAGUCCGCAUGCUCCUUACGUCUAGGGCUACACACGUCCUACAAUGGGGUCGACAAUGGGAUGCAAUAUCGCAAGAUGGAGCCAAUCCCCAAACGGCCUCUCAGUUCGGAUUGUAGUCUGCAACUCGACUACAUGAAGUUGGAAUCGCUAGUAAUGGCAGAUCAGCAUGCUGCCGUGAGUACGUUCCCGGGUCUU
rnacentral:rRNA from 1 species